ensembl:lncRNA
AGGGUCUCAGGUUACAUCUUCUGUCACCUCCUCAGCCAGGAUGCAGCCACUCUUUUAUAUCACUUUUACUGUCCUGUGCAGUCUGUCUCUCCUCCCUUCUGGGCUUUCCAUACAGUGUAAUGAAACACAAUAUUCUUGGCCAGUGCAACAACCCCAUUUGUGCUGUGAUCGUUGCCCACCAGGUACACAUCUUCGUUCUCGUCAUGUUGCAAAAUGUGAAAUUGAGUGCAUACCUUGCACGGAUGGCCUUUUCCGUGAGUCCUUCAACCUGGAACAAGACUGCGAAUUUUGUGCAAGUUGCAAAACACCGAACAUGGAGUUUGAGUCAGAAUGUAACGCCACUCAUAACGCUGUGUGCAGAUGUAAAGAUGGCUACCAGUGCAGGGAACAACCCUGUAAAGAGUGUGAGCCGAUACCAACCACCACCACACCCGUAACCCCCACUACAGCCCCGAAACCUCUUACCAACCCUGCCACACCCUCGGCAGCCAGUAAACCACUUGGAGAUAAAGUGUGGUUCCUGGUGAUUACUGCCCUCCUGUCUGCAGUAAUCGCACUCGUUGUUGUUACAAAUAGCAAACCCAUCCUGCGCUGGAUGAGAUCCAAGUCUGGCUGCCCUUUGACUAAACCAUAUCCACCAGUGACACCAUGCCCCCCGGACGGAGACGUAUCAAAGCCUGUCCAGGAAGCAGGAAAUGUGAAUAACCCGAAGAUGGAUACUGGACUUGGAUUACCACUAAUUUCACAUACGGACAUUUAGUGACAGAUCUCUUGUGGCUUUGGACAUUUUUUAUGAUAAAUGGAGGCAAACGUCACUUGGGUCAUGUUGAUGAAUGGAACCACACAACAUUUGUUUCAACACUGAUGCUGUUUCCUGAGAUGAAACAUGACUUUUUGACACCUGUGAUGUUAAAAUAAGUGUAUAAAAGGACAGAAAAGCACCUGAAAGGCACUGAGAUUACAGUGUGCGACACUGUGAAGCGUACGCAGUAUAUUUCAAAAACAGGGGUAUGUACUAUGGUACACAAAAGUUAAAGAUAUUUCACAUCUUAUAUACACAUUUAUAGGUGUAGGUAUAUAAAUAGACUUUUUGCUGCAUAUUCACAGUCUGAUUGUACAUAUAUGUGAAUGCUUUUAACUUACGGACAUUUCUACAUAGUUUUUGAAUUCACAAUAAAAUUUAAUUGCCAACCAAAUGCCUGUUAUUUAUGCAAAUAUUAUCAUGCAGGUACUUUAGAGAUAGCUGCCAGAGCUUAUUAACGAGUAUUUACAUCGUAAAUCAUAACUUACAAAGGAGAUUCCGGCUGUUCUUCCCAGAGUUAAAGUUUCUGAUGUGCACUAAACACAUGUUUUCCCAGAGCCUGCAGAUGAAAAUAUCUGUAGAACGCUGUGAUUCACAGUUUGCCAGAGAAAGAUGGCUAUGCUCCUCACUCAUCUGUGGUUGCGCAAUUUCAUCAUCCCGUCCUUUUCAGAGAAAGUUUUUGGAAUCAGUCUGGACUGCAGUGGUCACAACCACCGCUACAAAUCUUCUAUGGCUUUUGCGGUGCAUCAUAGCGCCUCCUCUUUGGACACGUGGUAAUCCUUCCCCUGCUCCUGGGAGGGAAAGAAAAUGCUGUCGUUCUCUCCACUCCUCUCCUCCUCAGAGAGAUGAAUACUGGGUGAGGAUGUGGGAUGAAACACAGGACAGUCCCUCUCUUCUUCUUCUUCUUCUUCGCCACGGGGCCUGUCAGCCGGCUUCCCCGCUUCAAUUGUCGGACCAACUUGGCCUGUGAACUGACUGAGCAAGCUAAAGAUAACCGUCCCCGGAUUGUGGACAUGGACUGGACCUACAGAGACAAAAAACAAGCAAAUAGUUCACUUAAACGAUGGAUUUAAUUGACCCAUACAAGUUGAAACACAGUGAAACAACUAGUCACAACUCAGACUCAUCACAGUAACACAGCUGCAUCUUUUACAUGCUUUGUUUUCAAAAUGACCCCACAGAGUGUGUCAAGUAUGGCACAUGAAAGUCUUCAUUUCACUCAUCAGUACCCAGAUUGGCUGCUGAAAGGGGCGGUGGCUGCUUUGCACUGAAUGAGUCUCUGGGGAACUGAUGCGUUGACUCCUUUGACUUGUGAGAAGCAUCUCGACCUCUCUAAAGAACAGAACAGGUCCAUCAGUGUGGGGCGAACAAAAGAGAAAUGGUGCCAUAUAUGGAGGUACUAGAUCGGAUUAAGGUUUGAAAUGAGCCACUUACCUCAUUGCAUAUCAGCAAUGCAAUAGCUGGAAAAAAAAAAGUAGAUGAAUAAAUUAAAAGAAGGAAGUCGUUCAGGAUUUACCCACCAAUGAUGACUCAACAUGUAAAUGUUUUACGAUCUGCAACGCCAAUGAAACCUUUUCUUGAUGACCAUAAAGUCAGAGGGUUCGAUUGGCUAAAGUGAGAUUCCAGUUGCUGAAGCUUUUCCUGGACAUGAACAAAAUCUCACCUUGCUUGAAACAUGAUUCAUCUCCAGGCCGACGAACGAAGAACAGGAUCAUGAGGGCCACGCAUGUUAUGACAACCACUGGACACAAGAUGGCUGCCAGCUGACUGCUCAUCUUGUCUGGAAAAAAAAGGGAAAAGAUUAGGUGUCCACAGCCAUUCUAGAGACUCCAUGAGGGUGUACUUAGGCUAAGCAGUGCCUUUAGCUAAAUGCUAACAUGCUCACAAUGACAAUGCUAAGCGGCUGAUGUAAGCAGGUAGUAUUGAGCAGGCACUCCAACGUUAUUUAGCCUACAGUGACAGCACAAGUUCAUGGUUAACUCAAUAAUGACAUCUCAAGAUAACAAAGCAAAUGUCUCUUGUGCUAAUGAAUUAAUUUAUAUCGUUAUGUAGGGAAAACAAAAGCCAGAUUUUUCAUGAUCAAGGCGGGGGAGACCAGGGGCAGUUAACCAUAUUCACACAACGGCCAUCUUCCUCUGACAUCGAGCUCAGGGUGGGAAGCUUAAAUGCUGGGAUAAUGCGAUGCUGUUGUGUUGCAGGUCGUAUAAACGCAGGGAUUCUGAGAAAUAACAAUCAUUCCAUCACUUUAAAUCGCUUGAAAAGUUAUUGUUCAAUGAAGAUCUGGAUGGAAACGGGGCCAUUUUUUUAGGUCCAGUCACAUAUUUGAUAAACCAUCAGAUAACAUUAGCAUUCAACCACUUCCUAGCUAACAGUACUGUUUGAUUUCAUCCAGUGCGUUUCACUUUCACGCUUAAAGAAAUGUGUAAAAAACAUGGGCUGAAGUAUUUAAUGCCUACCCUGCCAUGUAACGCCAUCAAACAGUAAUGCUAGCUAGAAAGUGGCUGGAUGCUCACGUGAGCUGUUGUCUAACCGAAGAUAAUGGUUCAUCAAAUGUGUUGUCUUAGCUUGAAAAAUGGCCUGAUUUCCCUCUGAAUAUUCACUAUCCAUUGUCUUUCCAGUUGCUAAUCAGCGUGGAAGCAGUGAAAUACUAACGAUAUUUCAGAUUCCAUGUGUCUAUGUGGCUUGCGAUCUGGAACACAGCAGUACCACAAAUAAGAUUCCCACACUGAGCGCUAAAAAUGGCCACUUGUAGUUUGUUUUUUUGUUUUGGUUUGAAGACAUUAUUCAAAAACCUCUUAACGAUUUUAAUGUUAUUUAAAGUAGGUGACUGUGUGGUAACUGUGUGGUAAAUGUGCUCUAAAUGUUCACAGUCAUCAAAUGUUUUUACAGAGAGAUGUAGAGAUGAAAAAAAACAACUUACAGACAUACAUCAAAUUUGACUUACAGUAUGAGACAUUAGAUUGUCAUUAGUUAGGAAGAAACGUGUCAUCAUAGAACAUUCUGUCUCAUUUCUGCAUAAUUUGAUGUAACAGUUGCCCCCAGUCUCCCGAAAUGUAUCGCAAGAAAAUAACGUUACAGGAUAAUUAUGGAGAACUCAAAAAUGAGUAUCUGAUUGAUUUGAUCAGAUCUAAAUUCAUCCUUCAAGAUCUGUGAUGUCUGUUAGGGAGAAUUCGUAACAGUUAUAUACUGUUGUAGUACUGAAGGGCACUCGCCUGUCAAGUUGCAGCGAGGCUGCUAAAUGUAACUCUGACAAUCCCAUAGCUGUAGAGCCAUUUCACAUAAAACCUUAAAGCUAAGAGGAUGAUCAAAUUCAGUAGGAAUAAUCCUCUGGGUAUCAUUAAUGUUUGUUCAAACUUUUGUUCCAGUUAGUCCGGUAAAUGUUGAGACAUAGCACAGCAUGUAAAAACUUGAACAGCUGAUGGCAUUACAGGAAAAAUUGGGGAAUCACCAAAGUCAGUAUGACUUAUCCUGUAGGAACAGGGAACAACUGUACUUAAUUUCAAGGCAAUCCAAUAGAUAUCUAGAUAUUCCAGUAAAGGCCAAAAAUGUCUUCCAGGCGGUUGCACUAGAGAAAAGGUCAGGGGAUCAGCUAAGCCAACUGGAUUCAUCCUCUGGAAAUCAAGAACAUCUGUACAAAAACAUUCGGAGAAAUUAUUAUUAUUUUUUUAUUUGAUAUACUAUUUUAAUCCCAAAUUGGGAAAUUCUUUUUUCCACUGACACACACAUGCAGUGUAGAGGAGAUGAGCGAAAGGGCAGCCACACGUGCCACGGCGCCCAAUGAGCAGUGUUAGUGGUCGGUGCCUUGCUCAAGGGCACCUCGGCAAUGCCCAGGAUGUGAACCAGAACUCUCCAACCGCCAGUCCACAUCAUUUUUUUUUUGGUCCGGGGGGACUCGAACCAGCAACCUUCAAGUCCCCAAGCUAACUCCCUACAGAUUGAGCUAUUGCCGAGGGGGGACAAGGUAGCCCAGACCCCCAUUUCAUGGAAAAACAGAUCACUGGGCCUCGCAACAAUGAAAAAUUAAUUAUAUUCCACACUUCGUGAUCUCACGCUCUCUCUCUUUUUUUUUUCGUGAACACUGACCUCUUUUGAGAUUUAUGCCAUUUUCUGCUGUUGGGACUGUCUGAGAGCCACAUCUGUGUGAGAUAAGAGUGAAGGGUUAAAGUAUCUCAAAUAUGUGACCCCAUGGACAUAUAUUUAUUAAUAAUAUCUGUAAAGAAUCUGUCAUGAGAAUCUGGAGCUUCAACACUCUGCUCUGUGAGGUGUUUUAUUAUGUGCUGUAUCGACGGAAAUCCGUGACUCACUUGGGAAAUCGGCAGGGCUCAGUAGAAGUUCUGCUAUGUCCUGAGGAAGCUGAGGAAGGCGUGUGUUUAUCUUGGCCUGAGAUAGUGGUUCCUGCUUCUGGAGAACACAAAUCAUCAAAACAAUAAUAAAUAAAUAAAAACAUCACAGGUUUGGUUUCAGAUUCACAAAGAGCAAACGAAACAAAACCUCAC